UUUAUCAUUUUAGUGAAAUAUAGAUAGAUAGGGCUAUAUUUAUAGAUAGAUAGAUUGCUAGAAGAAGGAAAACAAUGGAUUUUAGUUUAAUUUAUUACAGCCUUUUGCUUCCAAAUUUAAUGCAUGACAUAAUUAAUCAUAUUCCUUUGUGUUAGACAUAGUAGGUAAAUUUUGACAAAAAGUAUGAUUCUUUGCCUAUCAAAUCCAUGAUAGAUGAAAUAUCCUUCUUUUUCUUCGGGUUGAGGACUGAAUACACGGUUAUAACUAUGUUUGUAGAUAAGUAAGGAGCAUGCAGAAGUAUCCCAACCUAAGGAAUUCAAAGAUCUGCGGUUAAUAAGCAUUCUUUCAACACUUUCUAAAGUGUUAGAAAAAAUUUUAGAUUUACAGGUUCGUGUCUUUUUAAAUGAAAAUGAGAUAUUGCCAUUAAAACAGUCAGGCUUUCGAAAGUGAUAUAGCUGUGCUACAGCAAUGGUUGACGUAACUGACGAUAUCUUUCAAGCGUGGGAUGAGGAUAAAUAUUGUCUUGCUAGACUACACAAAGGCUUUUGACUUCAUAAAUCAUGAAAUUCUUUUGUCUAUCUUGCAUUAUAUAGGCUCUUCAAAAUGUGCAGUUACGUUUUUUAGUUCUUUUUUGAGUAAUCGUCGACAGCAAACAGUUUUGGAAAGUUCCAUAUCUAAUACUAUACCUCUAUUUGUGGAUGUCCCUCAAGGAAGUAUAUUAGGACCACUUUUUUAUACAAUUUAUUCUAGCUGAUUUAAAGACUUCUUAACAAUUGGUAAUUACCUUUUGUACGCCGACGAUACUCAGCUUUCACUUUCCGCUAAUAAUAUAACAUCUGCAGAUCAUAAUAUUAAUAUCGAUUUACAAAAUUUAGAGUCUCCAACGAACACAUUUUAAAAUAAACCCUUGAAAAUCGUCAGUUACCUUAUUUAGAGGGCAUACAAACCACAGAUCCAGAAUAAGCGAGGACCUCAAAAUAAAUAUAAACCCUAUUAUAAUACCUAAUACUUCGAAAUCCUUAGGUCUUAUUAUUGAUUCUGAUCUUCGAUUUUAUGAGCAUAUAACUGAUAAAUUAAAGAAAGCAUAUAGCGCUCUUAAACUUAUCUAUAACCGAAGAAAAGUCUUGGGUUAAGACUUAAAAAAGCAUCUUUGUUAUUCUUGUGUUAUCUUCAACCAUUGUGAUGUAUGAACCAUGCUUAGAUCAAGUCGACUCUCGUAGAAUUCAAAAAUUGCAAAAUUCAUGCCUUAUUCACGUCUUAUUUUUUGGAAUCCGUCGCCGAAACCGUAUAUCUCAUAAGCUUAAGAAUAUAGGAUGGCUAAAUAUGUUCAAUCGUCGAAAAUUACAUUUUGCUUCUCUUGGUUACAAAGUUUUAAAAUUAAAAACACCUUCAUAUUAAUACAAUUAAGUCCAGUUUCGAAUCUCACCGCUCAUUAAUCAUUACGACAUUUGUCUUAUCCUAUGCUAUCCUUGAAAAACAAAUAAAACAAUUAUUAUUCUCUCGUCAGUAAAAAAAAUAAAAAUAAAAUAAUAUAUAAAAAAAAUUUUCUCAUUCGUAAUAUUUAUCCUGACAGUAAUCCUUUUCCUCCUCUUUCCCGCUCCUUAUUCCUUAAUACAUUAAAUAUGUGUAUAUGUGCUUGCUUCAUGCUGUUUGUAUUUUUAAGUUUUUUUUUACUUUGAAGCUUCUUACAUUUAUUAAUAGCUAUUUAAUUAGGCCAGCUUAAACAGUUUCUGACAUCGCCUGAAGGCUGUAUUGACAUGGCCUUUUAUUUUUCAUGUUCUAUUAUUCUUUUCCUUACAUAUUUUUGUAAAUCUGUCAUGAAAAAUAAUAAUUUUUUUUUAGACAUUUGUUGAUUGAGUCUUUUUUAUUCUCAUCAGUUUUAGCACUCUUCGUGUAUUCGUCACAUUUGGAACAUAUGUCGCUGUAGGGCCGUUUAGAUUGCCAUCUAGUACUAUAAAAAACAUAACGAAAACCCCAUACUUUUUGCAACCUGUUUUCUGGAUACUGUUUAUGCGUUUGACGACGGUUAGAUCGCUUGGUAGAAAUAUCUGAUUGGGCUUAUCUCGUUUUGCGUAGUGACUUGUAUGUCGGGCAUAUUGAUCUAUACAAAUUCAAAUUUAAUUUCGAUUCUUUGAUCAACCUUGUGAAGGCUACACACUGUCCUCUCACAUCCGCAUUUAUAAAUCCGUCCCCGGACAAUUUUAGUUUUCUCUCAAACGGAUUUAACUUUUUUACUGUUACUCCAUGCAAUUGGCCCUAUGAUUUGAAUAUUAGGAGUGACACUCAAACCACAAAACAGUUUUACCACUAACCAAAACGUUUUAUUUUACUCUCGUGUUUUGAUAAGGCCGGGUCCAGACUGUGUAACAAAACAUGUUAAAUAACGUUUUGUAACUUGUUAUAGAAUUUUAAAUAAAAAAGUUUUAAAAUACAGUAUUGUAUAACAUUUUGCAGGUUAUAUAGCAUGUUUUAUGUUAUCCAUCAGUUGUCGGUAAACAUCAAAGAGAGUUAUAAAACUUUGUUGUAAAAUCGCACUGCGACUGGUCUAUGCUUAAAAACAAGUUAUUGAAACAUUCCCUGGCACUGCGAAGCGAACAGUGUUUGGAGUAGUACAAGAACGGGAACGGUCGGUGUCACAUCGCCUACAUUUUUCAUUGAUCUGCUCACGUGGAGGUCUUUACGCGAUGGAAUGGUCGAAAGAAUUGACUACUCAUUUAAUUGAACUAUUUCGUGAGCAACGAGUAUUAUGGGAUCCUACAUUUAGAGAUUUUAAAAACAGAAAUAAAAAACACAACGCAUGGACUUAAAUAGCCGCAGAAGUGAAAACAGAUACAAAAUAAUGAAGUUGAAAAAAAAUGCGCAUGCUGAUUGGGCAAUUUUGGAGAAGAAAGGAAAGAGUGGCGAUGGAGCUGACGCAAACAAACGAUAAAACAAAAUUGCUUUUUUUUAAUGCCUUUAUUUUUAAAAUAUAAAAAUGAGGCACGUCAGUCUACUGAAGGUGGUCUAUCUCCCAAGCAAGAUACUAAGACAGGACACUGGGAAUAUCAUUGCGGUUGAGGUAAGCACACUUUAAAUUAAUAAUUUAUUUGAAAUCACAAAUUAUUCUGCCACGGCACUUUCCCCUCCUUACUGGUAAAGUACAAAGAAAACUCCUCGCGUAUUUCUUUGCCUAGCACAGUAGGUUUCCUGGGAAUCUUUUUAAGUUUUACCAAAGUACCAUUUGACUGUGCUUGUACCAAGCUGACCUUCGACUAUUCAUGUACCAGGUAUUAAUUCUCCCCGAAGCUGGUCCUCUGAAUCAAAAGUUCCUGGUGGACAGUUGGAUAAAGUUGAUCGACCUUUUCGAAGAAAAUUGUAGAGAUAACAACUUGCUAAAACUAUCUUUUCUGCCUUUUGAGGCUCAAGAAGCAUUGGUUUUCUAAACACCCUGAAUAUAACAGAUAUAAUUCCAAAUGUAUUUUCGAUCACACGUCUUGCUCUGCUGUGUCUGUAAUUCUAAAUCUGAGCUGGUGACCCUUUCUGUUGAGUGCCUGGGAAGGGUGUCAUCAUGUGCGGCUGUAAAGCAAAUGCCUUAUCACCAAGAAACACAAAAGGUGAAGGUGAUAUUCUUCCCGGUAAAACUUUCAUUGAUGGGAGAUUCAAGAAAGAGGUUUCAGUAACUUUUUAAAGUUGUAUUAGCAAAUAUUCCGCCAUCAGACAAACGGCUCUAGCAACCUAUAUUUACAAACGUAAAGCAAUAGUUUUUCAUCCACUAUAGCUAAAAGCAUUGCAUCUUGAAAUGUUGUGUCUUUCCUGCUGAUUUCAUUUAUAAGAUAGUCAAAAUCAGAACUUGUCAUUAUUAAGAAGUUUUUAAAACUGCCAUCACAUUUAAUGUCUCCUGUCGAUGGGUCUAGGUCAUUUCUUUUCAGAUCAGUUAAAAGAGCUGUACCACUAUAUAUUUCUCGAGCUUUUAAUGAAGGCCGCACCCAAAAUCUUCGCUUAACAGGUCGGUGUCGCCUGCACAAAAUUACGCAAGCUGCUGCUGCCAUGAUGGCAUGCUCUACAUUUGACGACAUUUUACAUACUACUACCUACCAGCUAAAAUGCUGCGAAAAUUAUGCGCACUUUUUUGUUUUAUAUUUUGUUAUAUAGUCUGGAUGCUUGUGCUAUAUGCUAUAUAUAUAUAUAUAUACUACAAGUUACACAACAAAUUUGUUGUACAACUUUGUCAUUAACAUAUUUUGUUACAUAGUCUGGACCCGGCUUAAUGAUAGCGAUAGUCAAUUGUAGCGUAUAACUGACAUAGAACUUACAAGUGACCUUAUUUACUAAAGAAAUAAUAAACAAGACGGAAAAAGCCAUGAAGCAUGGCUGAACAAUGUUUAAACACUAACUAAACUAUACAAUUACCUAUAAAAAAUUGAACCUUUAUCCCUAUUAAAUGUUUUUGGUUUUUAUAAUUUUUGAAUAUUGUAUAUACUCUUGUCAUCAAAAAUAAUAAAAGGUUAGAAUUUGAUAUUUAUAGAAAACAAACCAAUACUUUUAGAUGCAUAAGUUACUUUAACCAAAGUUUAAAAAAUAUAGUAUAUAAGUUAAAUCACUCCGUUCCGCGUCGGCACUUUGACAAAAUUUUAUCACAAGCCACCGAGGUCAAUCAUCUUUUUACGAGCACAUAAAUUAUCGUAUAGGGCAGUCUUACUCAAAUUUUAAUCGUUGCGGAACCCUUUUAAAAAACUAAAUUUUUAACGGAAUCCUAAACUCUAAACUAAAAGCAACAGCAGUUAUAUGUGAAUUGUUUAUUAAUAAUCAUAAAAAGAUAGAUACGGUAAGUAGUGAGUUAGUAAGCAAAUGAUAACACUAAGUUCAUUUAUAUUCCUCAUCGACUGGGUAAUGUCAGGCUUGAUAGAAGAAAGUUGAAUAUUCACAUGUCUGGUUCGGCAUCCAGCCUAUUGCGGUAUUUUGUUUUUAUAGCUGUAAAUGCUGAAAAUCCAGUUUCACACAAAUACGUUGUUGGGAACUGGAGAAGAACAUUCAAAGCUUCUGUGGCAAGUUCUGGAUAUUCAUCACGAACCCUGCACCAAAAAUCAUUUAGUGAUUCAUAGAUCUGAUUUGACAUAUUUUCAGGCUUCUGCAAUAGAUGAAAAACGGUUUUAAAUCCAUGAGUUUAUUUUGUAUUCUGUUCUUCAGGAAAGUAAGAUUCAAAAGUCCCUUGCAGAUCAUUAGGAUAUUGCACCAAUUCAAUAAAUAUUUCAUUUUCAAAUAUUUCUGUAAGACUAAGAAACUCACUUAGCAGUGAAAAGCUUUCGAUUUCUCUCUUAUCAAAACAAGUAAUCCAAAAAUCAAAUUUUCUUUUAAAGGCAGUUAUUUUGUAGUUAGCAUUGAAAACUUUUGUCUGUUUUCCUUCUAGUGGCAGGUUUAAUUCGUUAAGUUUUCCAAACAUGUCUGCUAAAAAUGCUAGUCUAAAUAACUAGUUUUUAUAGGACAAAGGGUCUUAAAUUAAAAGGAACAUUUGUAAGAAAAGCUUCUAAUUCUGUUCUGUUCUUAGUUUAAAAAGCCUCGUCAAAGUUUUACCCCGAGACAACCAUCUCACUUCAGUAUGGAGCAAUAGUGUUUUAUGAUCGCUACCAUAAUCUUUACAUAAUAUUGAGAACAAUCGGGAUUGUAGUGGACGUAGCUUGACAAAAUUUAUUAUUUUUAAUGACUCAUCAAGAACCAAUUUUAGAUUUGGUGGCAUUUUCUUAACUACAAUUUGACGCUUUCAUUUUUAUUCGUGAUGUUGCUCCUGCUGUUCAAAUAAAUGCAAUCAUUCCAAUCGAGUUGGUUUUCUUCAAACAAUAUGUUAAUCGUGUUAAAAAUUUCUUCUCCGGUUGUGUUAGUAGGCAGCGAUGAGCACAUAAGCAAGUCUUCUUCGAGUGAAUGUUUAUAUGGAUAUCGCACAUUUACUAGCAAGAUGGCCAGUCCAGCAACAUCAGUCGACUCAUCCAUUUGCAAGACGAAUUUGUUAUUUUUAAGCCUUGAAACCAGUUCUUGUUUUAUGUUUGCUGCGAUAUCCCCAAUUCGGCGCGUGACUGUAUCGUUCGAAAGCGGCACUGUAAAAAGAUGCUUUACAGAUUUUUCGUUACAGAUAUACAUUUUGUUAUGUCUACCCCACAUGGUUUUAUUAGUUUCUCAGUGAUAGUGUGCGCUUCUCCUGCUUGGGCAAUGCGGUAAGUAACCAAAUACAAUGCCUCCGUGGCCUUUUCAUUCAUAGUCUAAAUCGCAUACGUCAUGGUUUUUUGGCUUCUUAAUAUUUGUUCUUUUUUAAUAGAAAAAAUUAUUUACUUUUGUUUUUGAAGUCGGGAUGUACAGUUUCUAAAUGUCGGCGCAUCUUAGCAGGUACCAUCGAACUAUUAGGAAGCAGUUUGCUGCACAACAUACAAAGAGGGGAGCCGUUAGAAUCAUCAAAUCCGAGUUUAAUGUAUGAUUCGUUAUACUUUCGUUUUUUCACAUUCAUUGUGUCAUUAGAUGUUUUACUACUUGAACUUGAAACCAUAAAACUAGAAUUUGACGCCGUCAUAUCACCUUGAUUUGAAUUUGACGCAUCAUCCAAGCGAACCACAUUUUUUGCAACACCUUUAAGCCAGCGCUCCAUUCAUCUUUAGCACUAAUUUGAUUUGGUCAAUAUUAUGACAAAUAGUAUCUCUUGACGCACGAAAUACAAGAUUUUACAACCACUACGAACAACAACAAGACAAGCGAACAUAAAAUACUGAGCGCGGUGUGAGUAAAUUUUGCGGUACGUUGCUUGAUUAAUAAAUUCUCCCUCUCGAUUUUCUCCGAAGUACGCGUCGACGCACGACCACGAGAAACAGCACGACGAACCGAGAUUGCUUAUAGUCCGGGGGCAAAUGGUGGCGUACGAGUAACGCUGUAACAUCGAUGUAAUAUGUUCUGUUCGAUGUAAUAGGUCGGGCAUUUACUUAAUAAAACAUAUAUUAAAUUUUCUAUAUGUACCCAUAACACCUAUAAGUAGGCGUUUCGUUUUGGUUGUUUCUUUUUAUCUUAGGUAACUUUAUUCUUAUAGGGUCCAUUUUAAUACAUGCAUUCAUUUAUUAUGACUGCUGGCGGAGCCCUACCGGAAGUUUCGCGAAGCACCGGGGCUCCGCGGAGCACACUUUGAGCAUUGAUUGAAUAUUUGGGAAGAUACGCAAUCCUGUGUUAAAAAGUGUACCCGGUCGACUAUCGGAUUGCCGUUCAGUUUCGAAGCGUCAAAUCGUAGCCGAUCGAGAGUUCUAGCCGUGACACUGGUUUCGUGACGUCAAAAUUGAAGCCGAGAUUUGGUGGCGCACGCCGUACAGUGGAACGACUAAGUGGAGAUACCGCGGGACCUAAUAUUUUACAUUUAACAAGUUAAUAAUUUUUUUUUAUUAUUACGUAUUUUUAGGUAUAUGAUAAAUAUUUUAAAUUUUUUUUAUUAUUUAUUUUAUUGGAAAAAUAUACAUAAACGGUGUUUCAAAUUCGUCUACCCUCAAAAUACGAAAAUGGAUAAUUUACCCCAAAGUUGCACAUUAUUUACUUGUAAAAGAAUGUGCCAUAUAAAAAAAAUAUAUAUAUUAUAUUUUAAGUGGUUUUGAAGAUUAUUGAAAAAAAAACAAAUUUUCAAAAACUUAUUCUUGACACUUUUGUGGGUUAUCUUGGUUGCUAUGGGAAAGUUUUUGCAUUGCUGUAUUACUUUUUCGUAAAAAUGUUAAUGCCGAAAACAAAAUUAGGUAGGUACCUACGCCAAAUUUUUGUUGCUUAUUUAAAAAAUCGAAAAUUUUAAUGAUUCCGACGAUAAUCAAAAAAAACAAAAAAAAAUUUUAAAUCCAUUUUAAUUUUUUCUGAGCUUACAGGAAUGCAGUAAGAGGUAGGCAUUAUUCUAAAUAAAAUUAAGAUUGUAAAAAGUUAGUUUAAAAUAAAAUUGUUAAUUUACCCACCUAAUUUAAAUACCGAAUUUUUAUUCUUUUUAAAACUCAAAGCGAGUAUCAAAAUAGUUUGGUAGUUAGCGGAAUUUUUCCAUCGCGAUGCGGUCGUCGCCUCGCAUGAUUUCGGCUUCUGUUGUGAGGUCACAGAACACAAAUAUAUAGUUAUGAGGUAUAGUUAUAGUUGUGAGGUAUCGAUGGAAGCGGGGAUAAGUGUCCAGGCUAGAACCGUUGAUUGAAUAUUUGGGAAGAUACGCAACCUUAUGGGCUAAAGCGUGACCGCAAAUAUGCGUGAAAAAUAGAUGGCGAUUCUCUCCAGUAUGCGCAAAAAUAAUUUCGUCCGUCGCUUCUUAUUAGUAAUCGGCCGAUAUCCCUGAGUCGUGUGGGAGAGUUUUUGCACAGGUUCGUGUUUCCCGUAUUGCAAUUUGGUAGUUGUUAAAAAAUUUUCUUGGAUAUCAUAAUCACAAAUAGAUAGAUAUAUGUAAAUGUGUUUAGUUUGUGAGACAAUGGCUCCUUUAGGCAAAAUUAAUCAGUGUGCGUAUCGUGGGUGCAAUAAUGUAAGAAAAUGUAAAAACAAUGUUCUCAGUUUUUUUCAAAUUUCCGAUUUUAAAACCAGUGUUGCUUAGCCAGUGGAUAGAAAAUAUAGGCAAUGCGGAAACAUAUGUUAUGGAUGAAAAUUUAUUAAAAAACAAAGUGGUUUGCGAAAAACAUUUUGACAAAAUAUAUAUUGCAGUAAGUAAUAAGCGAAAGAGACUUUUAAAAUCAAUCAGCUGUACCAAUUUCAUGGAAAGGUAUUAUUUUUGAUAUUUUACUGUUUCCUUCCAAAUUAGUGUAAUAAAUUUACUCUAAAUUAUAGAACCGGCCUCUAGAAACACAAUUUCUUUGUCUGAUACCUGAUGUAACGCUCAAAGCCUUGAGAGUUUAGAUGCAAAAGUUUUAUCAAUAAAUUGGGAAAAUGCGGACACCAUCAAAACUUAUUCCAGAAAGAGAAAUCCAGCAGUUGACGAUGAUAAUGAUGAGGCAGAUAUAAAUUUAUUUAUUUAUAGUGUUAAGCGUUUAUGUACCACCCCCGAAAACCCUGUAACUGAAAAAAAAGAAUUAUGUAAAAUAAUAAGCCCAGAACGACAGGCAAAUGAACUAUGUCAAAUAUCAAGUCCCUCAUCCACAAAAUCCGAUACAAAAAAACAGUUGGGUGCUGUACAUUUUAAAAUAGAUGUUUUAAAAAACCAAAUUAGGGCUAAAAGAAUGCAACAUAUCCGUUUAAAAAGAAAAAGAAAUGUAAAUACAAAUAUUUUUAGAGUUUAGGGGAGUUACUCUAGAAUGGUUAAAAUUUUGUUUUGUUAGACAGAAAAAAGUUUGUUUGGCCAAAUGGCAGUUUGUCUGAACUUUGUGUAGUAAGCAGGGUUCGUUUCUCGGUCCUAUUUUAUUUCUAUUGUAUAUAAAUGACCUGGCGUCUCUCCAGAUAAGAGGAUUCUUCACUAUUUUUGCAGAUGACACCACUAUUUUAUGGACAGACAAUAAUAAAAGCACAUUAACAAGAACAAUUUCUAAAGAUUUAUUAAUAAUUAAACAGUGGUCUGAUGCUAAUUUGUUGUCUUUAAACAUAGAUAAGACUAAAUUGUUAAGUUUUUAUGUUCAGAGCAGUUCAUGAUUCACAACAAAGAAUUGGAAGUGAAUAAUUUUAACAGAUUUCUUGGAAUUGUUAUUGAUCAUAAACCUAAGUAUUAUGGAGAUAUGUCAGGAGGCAAAAACUGGCUCGACGAUGUUUUCGAAAUACGAAAGGAAAAGAUGUUAACUUGUAAAUGAGAGAAAGUGUUUACAACAAUGUAUAAAUGAUUUUAUUUUAUGUUUUCAAAUAACGCCAGAAACAAAUAAAAAACCAUUUUGCCAAAUUUCACCUUUUUCCUGAAUAUUAGGAAGUAUUUGGCAUUUUUCCAAUUUUUUAAUUGCAUUUAUAUUGCGCAACUUUCGCCUAAUUAAACCAUUUACUGCUCAUCCUUAUUUUGGACUUCCUGUAUAAUCGCGAUGAGACCCUUCAUACUGUUAAACAAAAUAUUUGUUUUUUUUUCUUAUUAACUUUUUCUAGUUUUAAGAAUUAGUAAUUAAGUGUUUGCCUGUAUUGCAAAUUAAAAUAUGGCCUAUUUUCUAUAUUUUAUAGUGUUGUUACACCCUUAUUCAAAACCUUUUAAAUUUUGCGAUUUUAUUUUUAUAUUAAUUUCAGUUAAAGGUAUCUAUUUUUCAAUAUUUUUGUCCAAAAAAAGUGUACUUCACAGAUCUCACUACCCUACACAGUUUUUGAGAUAUUGGCUGGUUUCACAAACCCGUAUUUUCAAAAAUCACAUUACGGGCUACUUUUUGCAAAAAAUUAUUGACUCUAAAAAACUAUAGUACCGUAUAUAGAUAUUAAAUCUUUAAUUAUUUAAUUUACUCUUUAUAUUUACGUGAAACCUACCUAUAUCAUCACCUUUAUUUAAUAUUUUUGUUAAUUUUCUAAUUAAUAAAUAAAAGCUUAUUGAAUU